CCUACGGGAGGCAGCAGUGGGGAAUAUUGCACAAUGGGCGCAAGCCUGAUGCAGCCAUGCCGCGUGUAUGAAGAAGGCCUUCGGGUUGUAAAGUACUUUCAGCGGGGAGGAAGGUGUUGAGGUUAAUAACCUCAGCAAUUGACGUUACCCGCAGAAGAAGCACCGGCUAACUCCGUGCCAGCAGCCGCGGUAAUA
rnacentral:rRNA from 1 species